UAUUUUUUAAAAGUAGGACAACAAUCAGAAAGUUACUAAAAUGAUUUGCAUUAGCAUGUUUGAGGACAUUGUUAUUGCAAUUCUCAUAAUGCAACAAACUUUAGAAUCAAAUCAUGGUUAGUGAUUGUUCAAUAUUUUCAACCAUGAGGAGCUUGAUCAUAACUUACCUUAAUGGGGACUUAAUUUUGAUAUGAAAAAUUUAUUCAAUGACCAAAUCAUUACCAUGUUCUCAAUAUAUCGAAUAUUGUAAUGUUGUUGAUAAUUGAUCAGCGGUAAUAUUCUUAUUGAACCGCUUAAACUAUCAGCGUUGGGAACCUAAGCUUGUACCUAUAUGUUAAUAGAUUUGCCUUCACCAACUAAUUGAGAAGCUCUCACAGGAGACAAUCUUCAAAGUUAAAAGUAUUUAGUCCAAUUUUAUGUGUCACCAAAACGGUGUUUUGAAUGACUACAUAUUACUCAAUUGUUAGACCUGUCUUGUCAGAUCUGUGAUUUACCAUAAGAGAAGUGUGUUUGAAUCUAUUAUUAAAUGGCCUUAGCCAUCUGAUGCCUUUAUUUUACAAUGUUGGGAAAUCAUCAAAGACUUCAUCUUCCCAUGUAAUGCUUGUGAAGAAGAAUUGGUGAGACCUAUAUAAUAUUUUAAUUUCAUUUUUAAAGUGUCAUAUCUUUCUUUCUUUGAUUUCUUAUUUAGAUAUUUCUUUCUUUCGUUCGUUCUUUCUUCGCCUUCCUCUUUUACUUCUGAGAUUUAGGAGUUUAAUAGGUGCCCUGUGACGUAUCUUUUUUCUAUUGUGCUUUCUUACAUAUACAAUUUAGUAGACAGGUACGACCACAUGUAAGUGUCCCGUUACUUUUUGAUAGUAAUAGUUAGAACUCUUUUUAUACAUAGUACUGCUCUUUAAUUUUGUGCUAUUUCCUCUUGAUGUUCUUUAAGUUUUCUAUCUUUUUUACCUUUUACUCUGAAUGAAAUUAUUGACUGAAAUUUUGUACUUACUCAUAUCAAAUCAUGACCAGGGCAAAACUGUUCAUGCUCAUUUCACAGGAUAAAACAAACCAGAAGACUUAUCUCCACAGGACCUGAUUAGAGAGCUGUACUCUCCAAAAGUGGCUGCUCAAAUUUUAGCUAUCCCUAUCUCAAGCUGUUGAGUUACUGAUAAGCUGCUAUGGCCUCGUACAACACAACAUAGCAUGCACAAGCCUAUGAUGCACAACAUGUUGAUUAGAGUAACUACUGGAGUGUACCAGGGCGAGUGUGUCCAGUCGUGGAAGGAUGGCAAGUGUUGCUGACAGUUGAGGGGCACUGGCAGAGCAGGUGCAAAUGGGUUUGUUUUGCCCAUGUAGCUAAAUCAUGUGCUGGCAGAUAAUUUUUUGGCUGUUCCAGUAAUGCCAUAUGCAACGAGUGGAAGCUUAAUGUUUGAGAAGCAUUUU